ensembl:snoRNA Gm26019 predicted gene, 26019
UUUGUCCCUAGAGUCAUUGUUGUGGCUGCUGUGUUACAAGUGCGUCAGUAGGUGGCAGAGAAGAGAGAGGCUACAUCUACAGCCUGUGUAAACAUCUGAAUGAUUAGUAGCCUAACACA